GCACCUGAAUUUUUCCCAUUUCUUGCUGUUUAAUGCAGGUGUGGGGACAGAUGGUGUUACAGUAUGAGCAGAGGAAAUCCAGACUUGAGACCUGUCGCUACAACUCUGUCACAUUA
rfam:Erinaceus europaeus unplaced genomic scaffold scaffold00459, whole genome shotgun sequence